rnacentral:tRNA from 2 species
GCUCUUGUCGUCCAGGGGUAGGACGCCGGGUUGUCAGCCCGUGAACCGGGGUUCGAGUCCCCGCAGGAGCG